UUUUCUCUCUUUUUCAUUCCGCUCGCUUCCCGCCCACAGCGCCUCCCCCCUACGCUGCCCGCCGGCUCCCUCGCUAGACGGGGUUGAAUGAACUCUUGGCCUGGCCCCUCCUCCCCAGACUGUACCCUUGGUGGUUCUUUCCUCCCCGCUCAGCUUUGCUUUCACUUUCUAGUCGUUCUCACUCUCCGUCCUGGGUUUCCUAACCCUGGAGCCCUGGCCCUUCCUCAAGACGGGGGCCACGCUGAAGCCCUGAGCUGCACCCAAUUAGUCAGGUUUUGAUGCCACGCCAGGCAACAAAUAUUUAUCCAAUGCAUUCUGUUCCAGGCUUCAAGCAAGCAGUGAUAGCGAGCCGGGCAAGGUUCCUGCACACACAGCUUCUAGAAGCCUGGUAGUGCAGAGACACAAUCCAACAAUUCGAAACAGGGCAUAAAGGCGCUGCGGCUUGAUCCACGGUGCUAGUAAGGUCAGCUGAGCCGGCCCGGGGCAGCCAGGGCGGGUUCCCUGGAGGGGGAGAAGUCCGCACAGAGGCCUGAAGGACUUGGAGUUGGCUGUUACUCAGAGGAAGAAAGGGAGGAGUCAUUCCAGGCCAGGGAACAGCGCAUGAGUGGUCCCAUUUUUGGUGAUGCUGGCUGGAGCCCACCGAGAGAGGAGGAGGAAGAACAGGGCAGUGACAAGGUCCUUCUGGACAGGUCGAAAUCUACAUGUCUACUGGACACUAAGCCUUGAGCUAUAGUGCUCUGUGCCCCCAAACAGGAGCCUGGGGCAAAGUUCCAGACUGGCCGCCCCCUACACACAGCUGGUGAGAAGAUGCGAAGAUGUGAAGGCCUACAGCACAGAAGCUGCUGGCAGAGAAUGACCGACCCCACAAAGGACCAGAAAGGCCGCAGAAGGAGAGGGAUGUGGCCCAGGUGUGGCGUGCUGCUCAGAGGGCGGCUACUUCUGGGGGGCCACAUGGAGCCUGACCCGUCCUUGUCAUUCUUAAGCCGGUUUUUGGACCCGGUUGCUCUCCUCUGACCACGGCCCAGUCUGUUGGCUGUUAGAGUCCUGCUCAGAUCUGAACUCCACCCACCUGGGUGGGUCCUGCCGGCAUGCAAGGUGGGACGUCACCUCCCUCUUUCUAGAUGCCAUUUUCUGCCAAGCUGCCUCUCCCGUGGCUGCAUUGCCCUCAAUUGUACAACGAACUCUAAUAAAACUGAGAGAGAGCCUGAGAUUCUUUAAGACCUGGACUCAAGUUCAAAGUCUUUUAUUUUAUUUUAUUUUAUUUUAUUUUAUUUCUUUUUUCUGGCUGCACCCGCAGCACA